UACAGAGGGGGCGAGCGUUAUUCGGAAUUAUUGGGCGUAAAGGGCGCGUAGGCGGUGUUUCAAGUGAGAUGUGUAAUCCCCGGGCUUAACCUGGGAACUGCAUCUCAGACUGGGGCGCUAGAGUGCUGGAGAGGGUGGUGGAAUUCCACGUGUAGCGGUGAAAUGCGUAGAGAUGUGGAGGAACACCAGUGGCGAAGGCGGCCACCUGGACAGUAACUGACGCUGAGGCGCGAAAGUGUGGGGAG
rnacentral:rRNA from 1 species